rnacentral:rRNA from 1 species
CCCAGACUCCUACGGGAGGCAGCAGUGGGGGAUAUUGCACAAUGGGGGGAACCCUGAUGCAGCGACGCCGCGUGGGUGAAGGAGCGUUUCGGCGCGUAAAGCCCUAUCGGCAGGGAAGAAGGAGGACGGUACCUGACUAAGAAGCCCCGGCUAACUACGUGCCAGCAGCCGCGGUAAUACGUAGGGGGCAAGCGUUAUCCGGAUUUACUGGGUGUAAAGGGGGCGCAGACGGCAGCGCAAGCCAGGAGUGAAAGCCCGGGGCCCAACCCCGGGACUGCUCUUGGAACUGCGCGGCUGGAGUGCAGGAGGGGCAGGCGGAAUUCCUGGUGUAGCGGUGAAAUGCGUAGAUAUCAGGAGGAACACCGGUGGCGAAGGCGGCCUGCUGGACUGCGACUGACGUUGAGGCCCGAAAGCGUGGGGAGCAAACAGGAUUAGAUACCCGGGUAUU